rnacentral:rRNA from 1 species
GAAUUGACGGGGCCCGCACAAGCGGAGGACAUGUGGUUUAAUUCGAUGAUACGCGAGGAACCUUACCUGGGCUUAAAUGGGGAGUGACAGCUGUCGAAAGAUGGUUUUCUUCGGACACUCUUCAAGGUGCUGCAUGGUUGUCGUCAGCUCGUGCCGUGAGGUGUCGGGUUAAGUCCCAUAACGAGCGCAACCCUUACCGUUAGUUACCAUCAGGUUAAGCUGGGGACUCUAGCGGGACUGCCACCGUAAGGUGAGAGGAAGGUGGGGAUGACGUCAAAUCAGCACGGCCCUUAUGUCCAGGGCUACACACGUGUUACAAUGGCCAGUACAAAGGGCAGCUACCGGGUGACCGGAUGCUAAUCUCUAAAGCUGGUCUCAGUUCGGAUCGAAGUCUGCAACCCGACUUCGUGAAGCUGGAUUCGCUAGUAAUCGCGCAUCAGCCAUGGCGCGGUGAAUACGUUCCCGGGCCUU